CCUACGGGUGGCUGCAGUGGGGAAUAUUGCACAAUGGGCGCAAGCCUGAUGCAGCCAUGCCGCGUGUGUGAAGAAGGCCUUCGGGUUGUAAAGCACUUUCAGCGGGGAGGAAGGCGUUAAGGUUAAUAACCUUGGCGAUUGACGUUACCCGCAGAAGAAGCACCGGCUAACUCCGUGCCAGCAGCCGCGGUAAUACGGAGGGUGCAAGCGUUAAUCGGAAUUACUGGGCGUAAAGCGCACGCAGGCGGUCUGUCAAGUCGGAUGUGAAAUCCCCGGGCUCAACCUGGGAACUGCAUUCGAAACUGGCAGGCUAGAGUCUUGUAGAGGGGGGUAGAAUUCCAGGUGUAGCGGUGAAAUGCGUAGAGAUCUGGAGGAAUACCGGUGGCGAAGGCGACCCCCUGGACAAAGACUGACGCUCAGGUGCGAAAGCGUGGGGAGCAAACAGGAUUAGAUACCCCGGUAGUC
rnacentral:rRNA from 1 species